rnacentral:rRNA from 1 species
ACGGGUGAGUAACGCGUGGGAACCUACCCAUCCCUACGGAAUAACGCAUGGAAACGUGUGCUAAUACCGUAUACGCCCUACGGGGGAAAGAUUUAUCGGGGAUGGAUGAGCCCGCGUUGGAUUAGCUAGUUGGUGGGGUAAAGGCCUACCAAGGCGACGAUCCAUAGCUGGUCUGAGAGGAUGAUCAGCCACAUUGGGACUGAGACACGGCCCAAACUCCUACGGGAGGCAGCAGUGGGGAAUAUUGGACAAUGGGCGCAAGCCUGAUCCAGCCAUGCCGCGUGAGUGAUGAAGGCCUUAGGGUUGUAAAGCUCUUUCACCGGAGAAGAUAAUGACGGUAUCCGGAGAAGAAGCCCCGGCUAACUUCGUGCCAGCAGCCGCGGUAAUACGAAGGGGGCUAGCGUUGUUCGGAAUUACUGGGCGUAAAGCGCACGUAGGCGGACUUUUAAGUCAGGGGUGAAAUCCCGGGGCUCAACCUCGGAACUGCCUUUGAUACUGGAAGUCUGGAGUAUGGAAGAGGUGAGUGGAAUUCCGAGU